rnacentral:rRNA from 1 species
AGAGUUUGAUCAUGGCUCAGAUUGAACGCUGGCGGCAGGCCUAACACAUGCAAGUCGAACGGUAACAGGAAGAAGCUUGCUUCUUUGCUGACGAGUGGCGGACGGGUGAGUAAUGUCUGGGAAACUGCCUGAUGGAGGGGGAUAACUACUGGAAACGGUAGCUAAUACCGCAUAACGUCGCAAGACCAAAGAGGGGGACCUUCGGGCCUCUUGCCAUCGGAUGUGCCCAGAUGGGAUUAGCUAGUAGGUGGGGUAACGGCUCACCUAGGCGACGAUCCCUAGCUGGUCUGAGAGGAUGACCAGCCACACUGGAACUGAGACACGGUCCAGACUCCUACGGGAGGCAGCAGUGGGGAAUAUUGCACAAUGGGCGCAAGCCUGAUGCAGCCAUGCCGCGUGUAUGAAGAAGGCCUUCGGGUUGUAAAGUACUUUCAGCGGGGAGGAAGGGAGUAAAGUUAAUACCUUUGCUCAUUGACGUUACCCGCAGAAGAAGCACCGGCUAACUCCGUGCCAGCAGCCGCGGUAAUACGGAGGGUGCAAGCGUUAAUCGGAAUUACUGGGCGUAAAGCGCACGCAGGCGGUUUGUUAAGUCAGAUGUGAAAUCCCCGGGCUCAACCUGGGAACUGCAUCUGAUACUGGCAAGCUUGAGUCUCGUAGAGGGGGGUAGAAUUCCAGGUGUAGCGGUGUAAUGCGUAGAGAUCUGGAGGAAUACCGGUGGCGAAGGCGGCCCCCUGGACGAAGACUGACGCUCAGGUGCGAAAGCGUGGGGAGCAAACAGGAUUAGAUACCCUGGUAGUCCACGCCGUAAACGAUGUCGACUUGGAGGUUGUGCCCUUGAGGCGUGGCUUCCGGAGCUAACGCGUUAAGUCGACCGCCUGGGGAGUACGGCCGCAAGGUUAAAACUCAAAUGAAUUGACGGGGGCCCGCACAAGCGGUGGAGCAUGUGGUUUAAUUCGAUGCAACGCGAAGAACCUUACCUGGUCUUGACAUUCACAGAACUUUCCAGAGAUGGAUUGGUGCCUUCGGGAACUGUGAGACAGGUGCUGCAUGGCUGUCGUCAGCUCGUGUUGUGAAAUGUUGGGUUAAGUCCCGCAACGAGCGCAACCCUUAUCUUUUGUUGCCAGCGGUCCGGCCGGGAACUCAAAGGAGACUGCCAGUGAUAAACUGGAGGAAGGUGGGGAUGACGUCAAGUCAUCAUGACCCUUACGACCAGGGCUACACACGUGCUACAAUGGCGCAUACAAAGAGAAGCGACCUCGCGAGAGCAAGCGGACCUCAUAAAGUGCGUCGUAGUCCGGAUUGGAGUCUGCAACUCGACUCCAUGAAGUCGGAAUCGCUAGUAAUCGUGGAUCAGAAUGCCACGGUGAAUACGUUCCCGGGCCUUGUACACACCGCCCGUCACACCAUGGGAGUGGGUUGCAAAAGAAGUAGGUAGCUUAACCUUCGGGAGGGCGCUUACCACUUUGUGAUUCAUGACUGGGGUGAAGUCGGAACAAGGUAACCGUAGGGGAACCUGCGGUUG